ACUGAUUCAACUAAGUACCAUCUAAAACUAUAGGAACAACAAUCUAUAGUUGCCACCCUAUUGUUUAAGCAGUAGCAGCUGCUUGGGCGGCUGCUUGUCGCUUCUUUGCCUCUUCAAGGAUGGUCAGCUUGAUACCUUUGCCCUUGGGAAGAGACACCCAAGGCUUUGUACCCUUGCCAAUGGUGAACACAUUACCAAGCCGAGUAGCAAACUCGUGACCAGUGGCAUCCUGAACGUGGAUGGUCUCAAAGCUUCCCUUAUGCUUCUCCCUGUUCUUAAUGACUCCAACACGACCUCUGUUUCUUCCACCAGUCACCAUGACAACAUUUCCAACAUCAAACUUAAUGAAGUCAGUGAUCUUGUUGGUCUCCAAGUCCAGCUUGAUAGUGUCAUUGGCCUUGAUGAGGGGGUCAGGGUAGCGAAUAGUUCUCCCGUCAUAAGUGUUAAUAUAGGGAAUGCCCUUCUGCCCAAACUGCACUGACCGGACCUUGCAUAGCUUGAAC
rnacentral:lncRNA from 1 species